rnacentral:rRNA from 1 species
CAGCCGCCGCGGUAAUACAGAGGGUGCGAGCGUUAAUCGGAUUUACUGGGCGUAAAGCGUGCGUAGGCUGCUUCUUAAGUCGGAUGUGAAAUCCCUGAGCUUAACUUAGGAAUUGCAUUCGAUACUGGGAAGCUAGAGUAUGGGAGAGGAUGGUAGAAUUCCAGGUGUAGUGGUGAAAUGCGUAGAGAUCUGGAGGAAUACCGAUGGCGAAGGCAGCCAUCUGGCCUAAUACUGACGCUGAGGUACGAAAGCAUGGGGAGCAAACAGGAUUAGAUACCCCCGUAGUCCCUGUCUCUUAUAC